rnacentral:rRNA from 1 species
UACGAAGGGGGCUAGCGUUGUUCGGAUUUACUGGGCGUAAAGCGCACGUAGGCGGAUCGUUAAGUUAGGGGUGAAAUCCCGAGGCUCAACCUCGGAACUGCCUUUAAUACUGGCGAUCUCGAGUCCGAGAGAGGUGAGUGGAAUUCCUAGUGUAGAGGUGGAAUUCGUAGAUAUUAGGAAGAACACCAGUGGCGAAGGCGGCUCACUGGCUCGGUACUGACGCUGAGGUGCGAAAGCGUGGGGAGCAAACAGG